AAGUUCCGACCCGGACGCAAAGGGUCACGCUUUGGGCACUGGCUCGCCAGCAGACUCGGUGAAAUUGUAACUGCGGAGAAGAUGGCGGAAACCGGCGACAGGCAGGAAAGACCCCAGGAAGCGUGACUGUAGCUUGGCAUCUAGUCUGGGUACUACAUGUACAGGAUAGGUGGGAGGCUUUGAAACCAGGACGCCAGUUUUGGCGGAGCCAUCCAUGGGAUACCACCCUUGUAGUACUGGGACUCUAACCAUAGGCCAUGAAUCUGGUCUUGGGACCCUGGCAGGUGGGCAGUUUGACUGGGGCGGUCGCCUAACAAAAGCUAAAGGAGGCGCCCCAAGGUUCGCUCAGUACGGUCGGCAACCUUACGAAGAGUGUAAAGGCAAAGUAGAGAUCGAUUGCAACACACACAGGGCGAGCUAGGAUGAAAAGCGGACACAUGUGACCGGUGCUUAUGGGUG
rnacentral:rRNA from 1 species